rnacentral:rRNA from 1 species
AACGAACGCUGGCGGCGUGCCUAACACAUGCAAGUCGAACGAGAAAGGGGCUUCGGCUCCGAGUAAAGUGGCGCACGGGUGAGUAACACGUAGGUAACCUGCCUCUAAGAUUGGGAUAACCUGUCGAAAGGCGAGCUAAUACCGAAUAAGACCACAGCUUCCUCAGAAGCAGGGGUCAAAGGUAGCCUCUACUUGUAAGCUAUCACUUAGAGAUGGGCCUGCGUACCAUUAGCAGUUGGUGGGGUAACGGCCUACCAAGGCGAAGAUGGUUAGCUGGUCUGAGAGGAUGAUCAGCCACACUGGAACUGAGACACGGUCCAGACUCCUACGGGAGGCAGCAGUGGGGAAUAUUGCGCAAUGGGCGAAAGCCUGACGCAGCAACGCCGCGUGAGUGAUGAAGG